UGGGGUGAGAAAAAAAAAAAACGACAAGGUCUCCGUUGGUGAACCAGCGGAGGGAUCAUUACUGAGUUACCACAACUCCAACCCUAUGUGAACUUUACCUCUGUUUCCUCGGCCAACCGCAGUUACCCUAUAGAAAUAGGUUACCCUGUAGGAAGGCCGGCCGAAAUGCCGUUAAACUACGAAACCCUUUAUUUCCAACCUUGCUGUAGAACUGCGUGAAAAUCGAAGUUCCGCUACGAGUAAGGCCUGAAUGGCUUAAAAUAAACUUUCUUAGAAGAAUCGUAUUAAAACUUUCAACAACGGAUCUCUUGGCUCUGGCAUCGAUGAAGAACGCAGCGAAAUGCGAUAAGUAAUGCGAAUUGCAGAAUUCAGUGAAUCAUCGAAUCUUUGAACGCACAUUGCGCCCACUAGUAUUCUAGUGGGCAUGCCUAUCCGAGCGUCAUUACGACCCUUAAGCCCCUGUAGCUUAGCGUUGGGAAUCUACGUUUAGGCGUAGUUCCUCAAAAUUAGUGGCGGAUUUACAGCACACCCAAAGCGUAGUAAUUUACCCCGUUCUUGGAGUGGCCGUAGCUUCUGGCCGUAAAACUUACCCUAUACUUUCUAGUGGUUGACCUCGGAUUAGGUAGGAAUACCCGCUGAACUUAA
rnacentral:rRNA from 1 species